rnacentral:rRNA from 1 species
GAUGAACGCUAGCGGCAGGCUUAAUACAUGCAAGUCGAGGGACAGCACAGGUAGCAAUACUGGGUGGUAACCGGCAAACGGGUGCGGAACACGUACACAACCUUCCUUUAAGUGGGGGAUAGCCCAGAGAAAUUUGGAUUAAUACCCCGUAAUAUAGUUGAAUGGCAUCAUUUGAUUAUUAUAGCUACGGCGCUUAAUGAUGGGUGUGCGGCUGAUUAGAUAGUUGGCGGGAUAACGGCCCACCAAGUCUACGAUCAGUAGCUGAUGUGAGAGCAUGAUCAGCCACACGGGCACUGAGACACGGGCCCGACUCCUACGGGAGGCAGCAGUAAGGAAUAUUGGUCAAUGGACGCAAGUCUGAACCAGCCAUGCCGCGUGAAGGAUUAAGGUCCUCUGGAUUGUAAACUUCUUUUAUUUGGGACGAAAAAGGGCCUUUCUAGGUCAACUGACGGUACCAGAUGAAUAAGCACCGGCUAACUCCGUGCCAGCCGCCGCAGUAAUAC